rnacentral:lncRNA from 1 species
CUCACUUUUGCCCCUGACUGUAUCUGACUCCCAGCCUCCUCUCUGUCUCUCUCUCUCUGUCUCUCUCUCUCUCUCUGUCUCUCUCUCUCUGUCUCCCUCUCUCUUCUACUCCAUUCCCUAUCUCUGCCUGCUUUCUCUGUGGGGUACCCACUCUGACUGGUUUCCUCUCUGUCACUCUCUCUCAACUCUGAGGUAUGGGACACAUAUCCAUGGCUCUUUACCACAGACAUUUGGGGCUCUCAAAGAUGAGAACAUCCAGCUGGAAAUGCCUCAGAGACCACCUUGUUCCACCAAUGGCCAGUCAAGGCCAGACGCACCUGAGAUCACUCAACAGGACCUCAAAUCAUGCCACCUGGAUCAGUGGGAGUCAAACACAGGAACAAUAAAAGGGGUUGCAGCCUUGCGUGAAGUACUAUACAGCAGUGAAAAGGCAUGAACGG